GCGUUAGGUGAGGCCAACGUGUAGGUUCUCGCGGGACCGCCUGUCUUGUCCUAGGCAGGCGUCGUGAGGACUGCUGCUGGUACCGAAGGCAGAGGUGGGACUGGAGCGGAGCAGAAGAUGUCGGACAGCGAGGACAGCAACUUCUCCGAGGAGGAGGACAGCGAGCGCAGCAGUGAUGGCGAGGAGGCCGAGGUAGAGGAAGAGCGGCGGAGUGCAGCUGGCAGUGAGAAGGAAGAAGAGCCUGAGGAAGAAGAGGAGGAGGAAGAAGAAGAGGAAUAUGAUGAGGAAGAGGAGGAGGAAGAUGAUGACCGGCCCCCCAAAAAACCUCGCCAUGGUGGCUUCAUUCUGGAUGAGGCUGAUGUGGACGAUGAGUAUGAAGACGAGGACCAGUGGGAAGAUGGAGCAGAGGACAUCCUAGAGAAAGUAGAAGAGAUUGAAGCUUCCAAUAUUGACAAUGUUGUCCUGGACGAAGACCGUUCUGGGGCUCGCCGCCUCCAAAACCUCUGGAGGGACCAGCGAGAAGAAGAACUAGGCGAGUAUUACAUGAAGAAAUAUGCCAAGUCGUCGGUGGGCGAGACGGUGUAUGGAGGAUCUGAUGAGCUCUCAGAUGACAUCACCCAGCAGCAGCUGCUCCCAGGAGUCAAGGAUCCCAAUCUGUGGACUGUCAAGUGUAAGAUUGGAGAGGAACGUGCCACAGCCAUUUCCUUGAUGCGCAAGUUCAUUGCCUACCAGUUCACAGACACGCCCCUGCAGAUUAAGUCAGUAGUGGCACCAGAGCACGUGAAGGGCUACAUCUACGUGGAGGCCUACAAGCAGACCCAUGUGAAGCAAGCCAUUGAGGGUGUGGGCAACCUGCGGCUUGGCUACUGGAACCAGCAGAUGGUGCCCAUCAAGGAGAUGACAGAUGUGCUUAAAGUGGUGAAGGAGGUGGCCAACCUGAAACCAAAGUCCUGGGUCCGUCUCAAGCGGGGCAUCUACAAGGAUGACAUCGCUCAGGUGGAUUACGUGGAGCCCAGCCAGAACACCAUCUCCCUGAAGAUGAUUCCCCGCAUUGACUACGACCGCAUCAAGGCCCGCAUGAGCUUGAAAGACUGGUUUGCCAAAAGAAAGAAGUUUAAGCGACCUCCACAGAGGCUGUUUGACGCUGAGAAGAUCAGGUCCCUGGGGGGUGAUGUCGCCUCUGAUGGUGAUUUCCUCAUCUUUGAGGGGAACCGUUACAGCCGGAAGGGCUUUCUGUUCAAGAGCUUCGCCAUGUCUGCUGUGAUCACAGAGGGUGUGAAGCCCACACUCUCCGAGCUGGAGAAGUUUGAGGACCAGCCAGAAGGCAUAGACCUAGAGGUGGUGACUGAGAGCACAGGGAAGGAGCGGGAACACAACUUCCAACCUGGAGACAAUGUUGAGGUCUGUGAGGGUGAGCUCAUCAACCUGCAGGGCAAGAUUCUCAGCGUGGAUGGCAACAAGAUCACCAUCAUGCCCAAGCACGAGGACCUCAAGGACAUGCUCGAGUUCCCAGCCCAGGAACUUAGAAAGUACUUUAAGAUGGGGGACCACGUGAAGGUGAUUGCUGGCCGAUUUGAGGGCGACACAGGCCUCAUUGUUCGGGUGGAGGAGAACUUUGUCAUCCUCUUCUCUGACCUCACCAUGCAUGAGCUGAAAGUGCUUCCCCGGGACCUGCAGCUCUGCUCAGAGACAGCAUCAGGUGUGGAUGUUGGGGGCCAGCAUGAAUGGGGUGAGCUGGUACAGCUGGACCCCCAGACUGUGGGUGUCAUUGUGCGACUAGAGCGGGAGACCUUCCAGGUGCUGAACAUGCAUGGCAAGGUGGUGACGGUCAGGCAUCAGGCUGUGACCCGGAAAAAGGACAACCGCUUUGCUGUGGCCCUGGACUCAGAACAGAACAACAUUCAUGUGAAAGAUAUCGUCAAGGUUAUUGAUGGCCCCCAUUCAGGCCGGGAGGGAGAGAUUCGCCAUCUUUUCCGAGGCGUCGCCUUCCUGCAUUGCAAGAAACUGGUGGAGAAUGGGGGCAUGUUUGUCUGCAAGGCCCGCCACCUGGUACUGGCUGGAGGCUCGAAGCCCCGAGAUGUGAACAACUUCACUGAUGGCUUUUCCCCUAUGAGCCCCCGGAUCAGCAGCCCCAUGCACCCCAGUCUUGGAGGUCAGCAUGGCGGCUUUGGUAGCCCAGGUGGUGGCAGCGGCGGCAUGAGCAGGGGCCGGGGGCGAAGAGACAACGAGCUCAUUGGCCAGACUGUGCGCAUCUCUCAGGGGCCCUACAAAGGGUACAUUGGUGUAGUGAAGGAUGCCACAGAAUCCACGGCCCGCGUGGAGCUGCACUCCACCUGCCAGACCAUCUCUGUAGACCGUCAGCGCCUCACCACAGUGGGCUCACGGCGCCCAGGUGGCAUGACCUCCACCUAUGGGCGGACGCCCAUGUAUGGCUCCCAGACGCCCAUGUAUGGCUCCGGGUCUCGUACGCCUAUGUAUGGCUCACAGACACCCCUCCAAGAUGGCAGCCGCACCCCACAUUAUGGCUCGCAGACACCCCUGCAUGACGGCAGUCGCACUCCUGCCCAAAGUGGGGCCUGGGACCCAAACAACCCCAACACACCAUCACGGGCUGAGGAAGAAUACGAAUACGCCUUUGAUGAUGAGCCCACCCCAUCCCCACAGGCCUAUGGAGGAACCCCCAAUCCCCAAACACCUGGCUACCCAGACCCUUCAUCCCCACAGGUCAAUCCGCAGUACAACCCACAGACGCCAGGGACGCCAGCCAUGUACAACACAGACCAGUUCUCCCCCUAUGCUGCCCCCUCCCCACAAGGCUCCUAUCAGCCCAGCCCCAGCCCCCAGAGCUACCACCAGGUGGCACCUAGCCCAGCAGGCUACCAGAAUACCCAUUCUCCAGCCAGCUACCACCCUACGCCUUCACCCAUGGCCUAUCAGGCUAGCCCCAGCCCCAGUCCUGUUGGCUACAGUCCAAUGACACCUGGAGCCCCCUCCCCUGGUGGCUACAACCCACAUACACCAGGCUCAGGCAUUGAGCAGAACUCUAGCGACUGGGUAACCACUGACAUCCAGGUGAAGGUGCGGGACACCUACCUGGAUACACAGGUGGUGGGUCAGACAGGUGUCAUCCGCAGUGUCACGGUACGUGGGGUCCAGGGUAGUGGUUGGGCGUCCUCUCCUUAGUGCCCCUUAAUCUUUGUUGUUACUUUUUUUCUUUUAAAUGCUUAACCAUAUAUUCAAGUGCCCAUUUAUAGCUGAAAAAGCAGGUGUGGAAAGGUUUGGAAAGCAGGGACUUCUGCCUGUCGUGAUCAUGGCUAAGUCUCAGCAGCCUGGAACAGGGUCUGGAACACAGGAGUGUGUUUACUUCUUGACAUAUACCUUUGAGAGACUGAUUCUGUAGCAUGUACUGAGUGCUGCCUCUGUGCCAGGCUUGGGCUUAGCACCAGGUGCUCACACCCCUGGGCUUUCCCUUCCCCAGACACACCCAUUUACCUCCAGCCUCAGGGCCUUUGUAUGUGUACUUUCCUCUUAGUUCCAUUCUUCGUCUACUUAACACAUUUUCACCCUUCAGGGAAGCACCAAGGCUAUCUCACAUCUGCAUCUGACAGGUCAAUGUUCUUCAUUUUGUCAACUUGCUGCCUAAAAGCUCAGUGUUUACCCUGGUGUGAUUCUUCGAUUAUAAAGAUGGGAGGCAUGUGCUCCGUGUACUUAAAGGACAGUGAGAAAGUCGUCAGCAUUUCCAGUGAGCACCUGGAGCCCAUCACCCCCACCAAGAACAAUAAGGUGAAAGUGAUACUGGGCG